rnacentral:rRNA from 1 species
CGGGGUGCAGCAGGCGCGAAACCUUUACCAUGCACGAAAGUGUGAUAAGGUUACCCGGAGUGCUAGGAGUACAACUUCUAGCUGUUAUAGUGUGUAGAUAACACUAUGAGAAAGGAGAGGGCAAGGCUGGUGCCAGCCGCCGCGGUAAAACCAGCUCUUCAAGUGGUCGGGAACAUUAUUGGGCUUAAAGUGUCCGUAGCCGGUUUAGCAAGUCCCUGGUCAAAGCUGGCAGCUUAACUGUCAGUUCGCUAGGGAAACUGCUUCACUAGAGGGCGGGAAAGGUCUGAGGUACUCCAGGGGUAGCGGUGAAAUGCGAUAAUCCUUGGGGGGCCACCAGUGGCGAAGGCGUCAGACUGGAACGCGCCUGACGGUGAUGGACGAAAGCCAGGGGAGCGAACGGGAUUAGAUACCCCGGUAGUCCUGGCUGUAAACGAUGCGCGUUAGGUGUUGGUAGGGCUAUGAGCUAUAUCAGUGCCGUAGGGAAACCGUUAAACGUGCCGCCUGGGAAGUACGCUCGCAAGAGUGAAACUUAAAGGAAUUGGCGGGGGAGCAC